GAUGAACGCUGGCGGCGUGCCUAAUACAUGCAAGUCGAGCGAACGGACGAGAAGCUUGCUUCUCUGAUGUUAGCGGCGGACGGGUGAGUAACACGUGGAUAACCUACCUAUAAGACUGGGAUAACUUCGGGAAACCGGAGCUAAUACCGGAUGAUAUUUUGAACCGCAUGGUUCAAAAGUGAAAGACGGUCUUGCUGUCACUUAUAGAUGGAUCCGCGCUGCAUUAGCUAGUUGUUAAGGUAACGGCUUACCAAGGCAACGAUGCAUAGCCGACCUCAGAGGGUGAUCGGCCACACUGGAACUGGGACACGGUCCAGACUCCUACGGGAGGCAGCAGUAGGGAAUCUUCCGCAAUGGGCGAAAGCCUGACGGAGCAACGCCGCGUGAGUGAUGAAGGUCUUCGGAUCGUAAAACUCUGUUAUUAGGGAAGACAAUAUGUGUAAGUAACUGUGCACAUCUUGACGGUACCUUAUCAGAAAGCCACGGCUAACUACGUG
rnacentral:rRNA from 1 species